AAGGAGACUCAUAUUUAAGAAGAGGAAAAAGGAAGUGUCGCUCUCUUUUCCUGUUCCUGCUCCAGCAGUGGGAUGUGAUUCACCAGCAAGGAGGGACGCCAAGAAGGCGUCUGAUAAGAUAAGUCUUAUAAAAUAUAUAGAUGUAUGAUAAUUGAGACUGAGCUAACAGAUAAGGAUCCUAGUCAUUGGCCAAGCAACACUAUACCUAAUACAAGUCUCUCUGUAUUUAUUUGGGCCCUAACUUGGUGGGCAGCUGGCGUAGAGUACACAUGUGGCAGUGGGGCUUGGGUGGCUUUUGGCGGAAAGAUUUAUUGUAACAAGUGCGAGCUGGGAUUGGUAUAUAAAAUGGGUAAAGAUUGUUUUAAAAUAAAAAAAGUGAUUUAAAAAUCAUGUAUGUAUCCAUAAAACAAAUCCUUCUUUUCUCUAUUCCUGUAUACCUGUCUUCCUACCCACCCCACUUCUGUUUUUUUAAUUUUUUAAUUUUAGAAACACUCUUAUUUACAUAUCCAUCCCCCCAUUUCCUUACCAUCCCAUCCUCCCAACCAACCACCACCCACCUCCUCCUUAGGGAUAGUGAGGCCCUCCAUGGGGGACACUCAAAGCCCCUCACAUCAUUUGGGGGAGGGCCCAGGCCCUCCUUCCUAUAUAUCGGCUGCAAUAGUAUCCCUCCAUAGGGAAUGGGCUCCCAAAACCCAUUUGUGCUCUAGGGAUAAACACUGGCUCCUCUGUUAGAAGUCCCAUAGAGUAUCUUGGCCUCCUAGCUGGUGUGUACAUUCCCAGGGCUUGGUGUGGUCCAAUGCUGGUUCCCCAGCUUUAUGGCUAGGGUCUCUGUGCUCCCACUAUGUCAGGUCAACUGUUUCUAUGGGUUUCUCCAGCAUGGUCUUGGCUCCUUUGCUCAUCCCUCCUCCCUCUCUACACCUGGAUUCCAGGAGUAUGGCUGUAGGUGCCUGUUUCUGCUUCGAUCAGCUACUGGAUGAAGGCUCUAGGAAUGAUAAUGAAGGUAGUCAUCAGUCUCAUUAUAGGGAAAGGGCAUCAAAGGCAGCCUCUCCACUACUGCCUAGAUUCUUAGUUGGGGUCACCUCUGUGGAUCUCCUAACACUUCCCCUGUGCCAGACCUCUCUCCAAACCUGUACUGUCUCUCUGAUGCGAGAUCAAUCCAGUCCGUAAGGCUAAGGUUUCUUUAUUCAAGUAACACCAGCCAAGCACAAGCCAAAGCGGGCCAGGGGCAACAGGGCAGCCAGGCCAGAGAGAAGGGAGAAGGGAGAAGAGGCUCUCCACGUGUGCACGCAUCACCCUAGACUUCCCCUCACCACACCCUCACGGGCAUGUCCUGGCACACCAGUCCAGGAUACUAGGAGGCUGGGCUACAGUGUCUCCCUACAUCUCCCUCUAGGAAGGCAUCUUCUUUCUUGCCCUCCUCUAUUCCUCCCCUAUCUCAGUCCUCUUGUUCUCCUUCCCCCUCUCCUUUUACCCAUCUCCCCCUCCCACCUCCUUCCUCUCCCCAGCUUGCUCCCAAUUUGCUCAGGGGUUCUUGUCCUCCUCCUCUUCUUUGAGGAACCAUGCAAUCUUCUCUUGGGGUUAUCUUUGUUUCCUAGCUUCUCUGGAAUGUAGAUUGUAGGCUGAUAAUCCUUUGCUCUAUGUCUAAAAUCCAAAUAUGAGUGAGUACAUAACAUGUUUGUCUUUUUGUGACUGGUUUACCUCUAGUUCUAGUUCUAUCCAUUUGCCUGUGAAUUUUAAGAUUCCAUUGUUUUUUCCUCUGAGUAGUAUUCUAUUGUGUAAAUGUACCACGUUUUCUCUAUCCAUUCUUCAGUUGUGGGGCAUCUAGGCUGCUUCCAGGUUCUGGAUAUUACAAACAAGGCUGCUAUGAAGAUAGUUGAACAUAUAUCUUUAUUGUUUGAAUGUGCCCAAGACAGGAAUUGCUGGAUCUUGAGGUAGACUGAUUUCCAUUUUCCUAAGAAACAGCCAUACUGAUUUCCAAAGUGGUUGUACAAGUUUGCACUCCCACCAGCAAUGGAGGAGUUUUCCUCUUUCUCUACAUCCUCUCCAGCAUAGACUGCCAUUAAUGUUUUUUAUUUUAGCCAUUCUGCCCAUUGUAAGAUGGUAUCUCAGGGGUUAGCUCAUUGCCUCUGGCCAGCUCAGGGACACUCCUUGGGCAGCUCACUGCAUGGUCAUCUGGUGCCCUGCCACCAGCAUCACUGCCCCACCCCCUUUCCUGCCUGCCCUACUGCCUACUGCCACCACCUGCCCCACCUAGGCAUUGGCUGUAUGAUUAGACCACGAUCUUCAAUGAGUAGACAUAUUCUUCAGUUCUGUGGGAUUCUUGGUCACACAUUUAUGGAGUUUCUGAAGGGCAGUGGAGAUUACUGCCAAGCACAGCAUGACCUCUAUACAGACAAGUGAACUUUAGAAAUUCGUUUUUACUCCACCAAGAAGCCCCCAUAAAAGUGGAUAACCUGGACACAGACAUGUUGAAUUGAAAUCUGCAGUGUAUUUUAAUAAGAGCUCAGACCUGGAUGGGGUAAACCUCAGUGCACUUCCUUUGUAUUGCCUUAGCAUUACUGGAUUGAAGAAUCACUGCUUCUUGUUAGGAGGUUCAUUUCAUUGUCCAUUUCUCCCAAUUUCAUACUCAAAUCACUGGGAACUUCAAGUUGGAUAUUGAAGUAGACCUCAGGUUGGUUUUUGUUUGUUUGUGCUGUUUUUUAUUUUUAUUUUAUUGCGUCAUUUCUGUAUUCAAUUUUUUAAUUAUUUCAUAACCCUCUGGGAUUUUUUUUAAAAAACUAAAGUAUCAUGACUCGAAUGAACUGUCCUGCUACUGUGGGAGUCACGUACAAGAACAUGAGAUUCCUUAGUACACACAAUCCAACCAAUUUGACCUUAAACAAAUUUAGAGAGGAAGUUAAGAAGUAUGGAGUUACCACAAUAGUAAGAGCUUGUGAAGCAACUUACAGCACUACUCUUGUGGAGAAGGAAGGCAUUCAUUCGUGUUCUUGAUUGGCCUUUGAAGAUGGUACACCACCAUCCAACCAGUUUGUAGAUGAUUGGUUAAGUCUUGUAAAGAUUAAGUUUCGUGAAGAACCUUGCUGCUGUAUUGCUAUCCAUUGUUUUGCAGACCUUGGCAGAGCUCCAGUGCUUGUUGCCCUUCCAUUAAUUGAAGGGGGAAUGAAAUAUGAAGAUGCAGUACAGUUCAUAAGACAAAAGCAGCAUGGAGAUUUUAAUAGCAAGCAACUUUUAUAUCUGGAGAAGUACCAUCCUAAGAUGUGGCUGCACUGCAAGGAUUCCAAUGGUCAUAGAAACAACUGUGGUGCCUGAUGCUAUGGCCUUGGGAGUAGAGCUUCAGAUGGGAUCUUAUUUGUCAUACGUAAUUAACCAAUUUGUCACCUUUUUGAAUACGUCUACCCAAGCUUCCACAGUAAUAUUAAAAACAGGCCACAAGCUUGAUGGAAUUGCAACCUCUGUAUUUGAGUUAUGAUCAACCCAUUUGGACACUUAGCAAAAGAUCUUUGCGGGUCAGCAUUUAAAAUGCGCUUAUUAUUUGCACCAAUUGACCUUUCCUAAAAUACAGUAUUGAAUUAUGUCCUUAAAUUUACUCCUAUGCCAGAGUAUUGUUAGUAGAGAAGGAAUUUGGAAAGAUUAGGUGCCAAGAUACCCAGUGUAAUACCUGUAUAUAUUUUAACAUUGUACAGAACCAAAAUUCCAGGACCUAAGAACACUCUAGACCUUCCAUGGUUUAUUUCUUCAGUCAUCUCAAACACUGCAGGGCUUUUCUCAUUAUCUGCCUGCUCACUCUAUGUUUACAUCUCCCACACUCAUACCAGUAUACAUCAGGCUUGCUUAGCCAUCAAUAUUUUUUUAGCAAGUCUUGUGCUGAUUACUUAAUGUCUUGAUAUUAUUUUUUGCUGUUAUGGGAAACCUUUAUUUGAAAAUUGACUUUGUUACAGAAGCACAUAUCUUCAAUAAUGUCACCAGACAAAAAGCCUUAUAGCUAAUUUAAUGUUUACACUCAAAGGUGCAACAUAACAGGGAGGGCCUGAUAAAAAGAAUGGGAGGAGGCUAUUAAAUAUUUUUAGUAAGAUGUUGCCUUUGUCUUGUGCAAAAUAUGCUCUUUAAUUCAGUAAACAUUUUAAAAGGUAGAGAUACAUUGUUGUAGCUAACUAAUUCUUAAUCAAAAUUUCUAAAAUUCUUGUCUUUUUCUGUAGCUAUUAGAAGUUGUCUUCCAACUUGCUUGAAUUAUGGUUUUCCCCUUCUCUUCCCAACCUCUCUUGCAGAAAAAGAAGACGUGGGAUCUGCUAAUGAACUGAGCAGACAUGUUUUAUAUGCCUUUUCAACUAUGUAACUUAAUAAUUGGAUACUUGAUCAUUUGUUUUAUUAUGCAAUCGAUAAGAUGGUGAUGUGUAUUAAUAUUAUUUCAGCCAUAUAUUAAUAUUGUCUAGAAAUGUGUGGUUAUAGUUCUGUGGGAGAAAUAAUUUGUCAGUGUUUGCCAGCUUGUGAAAACUUAGUGCAAGAGCUUCAACAUCUAAAUAAAGAAUGAAAUACAUUUGUCACUGAAAAAAUAAGAAGGAUGAGGAAGAGAAAGGUUAAAAAGUAGGAUUCAUUUACUUCAUUGUGUCUGUAUGUUUUGUUUCUAUGCAUGUGUGGAGGUUUUGUUUUGGGUUGAUUGGUUUUGUUCUUGUGCUGCUGUGAGGAUGGAAUCUGAAUUGCUUUGAUCACAUUUGCAGUAGGAUCAAACACAAAAGAAUAAUCAUGAAUAAAUCUGGUUAAGUAAGGAAAACAAUGAAAACUAAAACAUGGAUAAAAGAUGUUAAAGAGGGAAAAGUAGGACCUGGGGAGAGGAAUUAUAUCAGUGGUUAAGAGCACUUGUUGCUCUUGCAGAGAAUUCAUGUUUAGUUCUCAUAAUAGUGGUUGCCUUACAGCCUCCUAUAAUUCUAGCUCCAGGGGGUCUGACACUCCAGAUCCAGGUAAGUAUGUAGGCACAGAAAUACAUGUAGACAAAACUCUUUUAGACAUAAAAUAUGCAAAUCUUUAAAACAUAAAAAAUACAUAAAUGAACAGACACAUUUAAAUUGUACAUAGUUAGAAGUAGUAUUGCUAAAACAUCUAUACCAUCCAAACAGGACAUAGAUCCAGUACAAUAUUUAUGAUAGUUCUACUGGAGAUUUUCAGAGAAAAAAGAAAGUUCUAAAAUGCAUGUAAUACUUAAACAGACCACGAAGCUAUAGCCAAAGCAAUUCUGAGAAAUAAAACAAAGCUUUGAGCAGCAUACUCCUUCAAGUUACAUUACAAAGUUAUAAUGGAAAUAUUUCAGUCAUUUUAUAACAGACAUAUAAACAGAAUAUGUGCAAUCAACAAGUCAAGUUUUUAAGAGAGCAUAAGAAAACACUAUGAAGAACUGGUAAUAUCUCAAUAAAUGGUGUUAAGGAAACUAGAGUCAUGAAAGAAUAAAAUUGAAAUUUGUGUCAGCAGUUCAAAGACAACACAAAAUGAAUUAACUAAAUUUGAGCUGAGUCUUAUAGACUCUAUUUUGUUUAUUUAUUUAUUUGUUUAUUUUUGUUGGUGGUACGGAGGCUUUGUUUCAGUUUGUUUUUCUUUUAGAGAGAGAGCAUGAAUUUGGGUGAAUAUGAAGAUAGGGAGGAUCUAGAAGGAGUUGAAAGAAGAGAAAUAUAUAAGAAGCCUACAUAGCCUGUGUUGGAAACAAAGCAUGUUUUGAAAUUUGGUUGCUUUGCCUUGCCUUAGUUCAAAAGUAUGAACAUUAAGGAUCCUUACUGUGUUACCACCCAUAGGAGCUCUCCCAUCAGCAGUGACUUUAAUUAUGUCCCAAUUAACCUUAAUUAGGACAGUUUUGUCUAACAGUGCAUCCAGAGAGAUCACUAAACAAACAGCUUGACAAACACUGUCACUUAAAACCUUUUCCAAAUAUGGCACUUUCUUAAUUAAGAAAUAAAGUUGUGAAGUUGCUUUAUUCACAGACAUUAUUUGAGAAAUUAGAGGGGGAGCUCAGGCCUCUUUUCCGGUCACAUUCUUUAAAUGCAUGGGUUGCAACAGGACUGAAUAUUUGCUGCAGCUGGAGACAGACUUCCAGUGCAGGACCAGAGGAGUACAGACCCCAUCCAUCAACUGUGUGUUCACUCCAGGUGGACAAUGAGAUGCUAUCCAACUACUGGAGUCAGUUUCACUUUUCAGAAGAAGAUUUAAAAAUGAAAGAAAGACAUUUCAUGGAAAUAAUGAAAGAACUUACAACUGCUUUGUUUGUAUCAAGUUGAAAGUCACCACAUAAAAAGUUAGCAGAGGAUUCUGAUAAAUUUGACAUUUUACACUAUAUCUUGGACAUUUUCAUGAUACUGGAUCUUAUACUGAAAAGUCAUUCCUUUCAUUGACUCAAGUUAUUAUUUGGGUUCCUCAACUCAUGUUUUUGUUUUUGUUUUUUUGUUGUUGUUGUUGUUGGGCCUAUGUACUUCUCAUUUUUUACUUUUGGUCUUUGCCAAUGCAAAUUUUUUUCUUUUCACCGUAUUUAAAUCUCUCUUAAAAUAUUUUAAUAUGAAAUGUAUUAUACAAAAUAUACAGCAUUUAUUCAUACAGUGUUUACAUAUACAUAUGUUGUACUUCAAACCCACUUAAAAACAGAACAAUAGUUGAAACCUUCUUGUGCUUCAGUCCCAUCACAUAAGCCUUCUUCCAUACAAGAUACACAAUCUAAGUGCAAAGUAUUCAUCUUCAUAUUAGUGAGAAUUCUGCCACCUAUGUAUGGCAUAGGCAUAAAUUGCAUAAAAUCUAUAAUAUUUAACAUUUAUACUUGAACAACCAUAUGUAAUAUUUUUUGUUAAUUUGGGCCCACUAACACUAUGUGGUGGAUAGAGGAAGGUCUUAAGAAACCCUGUCCUUCUCUGAAGAUUUAUUGGCAAUUAAUGGUUGCUAGAGAGGAGUUAUUUUCUUCAGCAGUGUAGCAGUUGCUAAAAUGCUGAGCUGAAGCACAAAUUGGUUGAAAGACACCCACAGAAAACUACAACAAAUCAGUAUACAUAGUGUUGGAGUCCAGUCCCAUAGGAUACAUUUACAGUACAUUACUGGACCUAAGGCUCAGGGAAGACUGUAGAAAAGGGAACAGAAAGAGUAUAAGAGCCAGCAGGGACUUUGUUGUGAGCUUUGUCUUCUACUAGCAUCAGAAAUUACACUGGCAAAGUCUCACCAACAAGACCAUCCCCAUGAGAUGAACAAGCAGGACACAAACAAACAUGCCCAACUCAAUUAGGAAAAGACCAUGAGGCCUCAAAUCUACACAAAGAACUACAGGUAAUUGAAUAUCUCUGGGAGCAGAAGAGAUAAACCUCCGCAGAGAAAGCAUACCAACUAGUUGUCCAGCCCUAUAAACAAACAUAAAUAUAAGUAACAUAUUACAGAUUCAACAGGAUAUUUGGCUAUAUGUAUAUAUGCAUCCAAUUACAAUUGAUGAAAAAUAAGGGAAUUGAUGAAAUUGAAGGGCAAGUUUGAAAGGGAUAAGGGAGAGUUGUAACUAAAAUACAAUCUCAAAAGGAAACUUGAACAAAAACUUUCUGAAGGGAAAAAGGACACCAACAACUUUAUCUAAAUAUGCAUGAAUAACUCAACUUUAUUUUGGCUGUAAAUAUUCAGCUAUAUGUUACUAAAAUAUAAGGAUUCAUUUCAGCUGAUGGAGUGUGGAGGAGGUAGUCAGGGGCCCUCCCAAGAAUUCCAACCCCAUGCAUAUACCUGUCUUUAUGUACUCAAGUCAACAAUGACAUAGGAGCCAUGAUAGAGACACCACAGAAUCCAAACCUGUGAGUUAACUUCACAUUUGUAGAUUAUCAUACAUGGCUAGGCAUGUGUACCUGUGAAAGGAAAGCAGGUCAGACAGUCAGUUUGACAAGUCAGACAAGUCAGUCAGAAAGAGACUACUAGGGACCUCCAAAGAGGGAAGAGUGGUCCUCAGUUAUCCUAUUACUAUUUUUCUGAUAAAUGGAUAUAAGAGUAAAAUUGCCUCCUAAUGACUAAAUCUAAACAUGAAAAGGGGAGUUGGCAGUGAAGGCCCAUCAGUAGCCAGGGAGCUAUUGGCAACUGAUAGCUUCUUUGAGAAGAGGAACUGGUUUAAGAAUAACCCCUGAUAACAUGGCCAUACUGUGGUGGAAUGUUAUACCCAGAAACAUACCCAGAAAUAUAUGGGCAGCAUAAAUUUGACUUAACAGGUAUUUUUUUUAUAAGGACACACAUUUGGGUGCCUCAGGCAUGGGAAAUGGGAUCUGUGAGGAGUUUAUGGGAAGAAGUCUCUGUGAAGAAUGAAUUGAUAAAAUCACAUGUUGCCAAAUCCUCAAAGAACUAAUUUUAAAAAUAGUCAACUAAGGAGUGAGGACUUCAGUCCCAUAACUGUGGGAAACUGACUUCCUUAAACUAGCAAGGAGCAUAAAGGAACAGAAGCAGCCUGAAAAACCCCUCGGCUUCAGUCUCAUGAGGCCAAGAGCACAGAAUCCAGGUGGACCCAGCUCAGAUUUCAUACCUACAAAACCCAUGUGAGUUAGUAAAGUUGAUCAGUGGUGUAUUAGUGAACAUCUGUUAGGUAAUAGAAACUCAAUACUACUUAAUUUUAGAAAUUUUAAAACCAUUCCAUGCUGUUCUGAACAUAUUUUUCUCAAUGUGACCAGAUGCCGAGAUGAAAGAGGUGAGUUAUAUACACCUAUGAACAGAAUAGGUCUGUGCAGUUACAGGUGAACUAUACACAUCCAUGAAUAGAAUAGACCUGUGCCAGGGUGCAUACAUUCUUGAAUAAUGCUAAUUUGUUUUCCAAAAAAUUUCAAGUUAUCUUUUCCCCAGCCAUCACAAUUCCUUUUGUUUUACAUCUAUUUCAGUUGACAAAUUCUUGUCAGAAUUUGAUCUUGUCAUAAAUCAAUGAAAUUCAUAUAUUUUAUCUGUCAUGAUGAUCAUGGAGUUUUUUUUUUCUUUUUCCAUCUGUUUUGAUAAAUUACAUCAAAUAACUAUUUUAUAGGCAAGCAAUAAGUACAAAGUAGUUAAGAUAUAUUUUGUAAUUUUGUACUAUGUUUGCUAUUAGCUUUACAAUGUGUUUCCACAAUAGUUUUUUUAGACAGAGUCUCUUUAUUUAGCCUUGGUUGGUCUUAAAUUGCAAUGCAUACCAUGCUAACUUCAAACUCGUGGAGCACCACCUGUGUCUGCCUCCUUUAACCCCUACUAGUGUUGGGAUUAAAGGUGUGAAGCUCCACAAAGCUCUAAUUCAUGAGUUUCUAUUCAUCUAGACUCUUAAAAAAAUCCUUAGUUUAGAAUUGUCUAUUCCUUGAACAAUUUUAAAUUUUAUUUUGAGAAUAUUUUUAUUUUUUGAAAUUUUCAUUCAUCUAUAAAAUGUUUUUAAUCAUAUCUGUCCAACGUCACCUCCCUGCUACCUUCUCCAGUGCCACCCACCUCUCAAUCAACUUCAAGACCUGGGAAACCUGGGUUUCAACCCACCAAAACUGAAACUAAACACUUAUUUCUUAUCUGCACAAAGCUCAAUAAGUGGAUCUAGGACCUAAUAUAAGACCUGGAACUCUGAAACUUCUGAAGGAUAAACUAUUGAGUGUAUUCCAUCAUUUGGGCACAGGUAGAAAGCUUCUGGAUAGGACUCCUGCAGUGCGGAAGUCCAUUUGUGCUCUAGGGAUAAACAUUGGCUCCACUGUUUGAGGUCUCAUAGACUACCUUGGCCUUCUAGCUGGCACCCAUUUUCAGAGGGUCAAGUUCAGUCCAAUGCUGUUUCCCCAGCUUUAUAACUAGGGUCUCCAUGCUCUCAGUAGGUCUGGUCAACUGUUUCUCUAGCACUGUCAUGGCUCCUUUGUUCAUCCCUUUUCUCUCUCUCCACAACUGGAUUCCAGGAGUAUGGUUCAGUGCUUAGCUAUGGGUGCCUGUCUCUGCUUGGAACAGUUACUGCAUGAAGGCUCUAGUAAUGGUAACCAAGGUAGCCAUCAAUCGCAUUAUUAGGGAAGGGCAUCAAUGGCAUCCUCUCCACCAUUGCCUGGAUCUUAGUUGUGGAACUAGAAGAAACCAUCCUGAGUGAGGUAACCCAGUCACAAAAGGAUAAACAUGGUAUGUACUCACUCAUAUAUGAUCUUUAGACACAGAGCAAAGGAUUGCCAGUCUACAAUUCAUGCUGCCAGAGGAGCUAGGAAACAAGGAGGACCCCCAAGAGAAGUUUGCAUAAUCCCUCGAAGAAGGAUUAUGGGAGCACGAGGGGCAUUGAGGAAGGAAGUAGGAAGGAGGAAAGGGGAGCGGGAAGAAAACAAGAGAAAUGCAACUUUCUUUUAAAUAAAAAUAACUGGAAAAUUCUUUCUUGAAGCAAUCAGAUUCCUUGAAAAAUUGCUUCAGUGUCAAUCUCAUUCAUUUUCUAAUGCAGGGACAUGUUUCUCUACAAACAUCUAUAUAUUCUUAUUUCCUGGGUCUUUACAAAUGAAAGUUUUGUAUGCCUUAGUUAUCUGUUAAACAAAAUAUUAGGUAGGAUUACUGAUGGACCUAUGGUACAAUCAUCUCAUUUUUAGCAAUUCAUCCUCAUAGUUAGUUACUCCUUUCUGCUGUUUUAGUUUCAAUUAUUUUUACUUGAUUUUUUAUUGUUUUUCCUUACAAGGACAUCUUAGCUCUUUAAUUGCCACCCUCUCCUCAUCUGUGUGUAAGCAUUUGAUACCAUUAUGUUCUAAGAAGCUGUGUCUUGCAAAUUUCUAUGAGUAGCUGUCUUGUCACUGCUUGCUGUUUAUAAAUCGUUAAAUGAAAAAGCAAUCUUUUGUUUCUUUUCAUAGUCUACACAAAUACAUGAAUCUUUAGCACGAGAUCAUCCCAUGUUUCACACUCACAAUGUUUUUUCUAAGUUCAGUGAGCAUCCUGAAUUUGACAAAUACACCCCUCAGCUCCCAGUAUUAGACUGUGAAGGUAUUAACUUUGUUUGGACCAUCCCAUGCCACUUUUCCACUAUCAGAAUCCUUUGGUAUAAAAAUCUUUGGACUUUUGCUAUACACAUAAGAAUGUUAUUUAUUUUAUUCCUAAAUUCUUAAGGGUCAAAACAUAGUGCCUUCUGUUCAAAAGGGAAAGCCAUUUCUGUGGAUGACAACAGAUUCACUCUCCUUUGCUAAGUCUGCUUGACAAGGGCUUAACUCUGUAAAAACUUCAAAAGCUGAACAGUCUCAAAUGCCUUUUAAAUCCUUUAUCUUUCCUUUACAAUCCUGCCAUGUGUGGGUAUUCAUUAUAUGCAACUUGCAAUCAAAUUUCUGCUCUUCAAGCAGAAAAUUGUCUUUCAUCAGUUUUAAACACUUCACAUAUUUCCUGAUCCUCUACACGCAGGUUGGAGUGAGCAGACACAUAGGAGGCUGCACUCAUUUCUCUUGAUACAUGAGCUUAGGCAAAUCAUAAAACAUUAUUGUAGACUAUAAAGAGGGAAAUUAUUUCCAAGAUGCAUGGUUUUCAGAACUCUGUCUCCUUAUAUUUCCGAGGAGAAUCUAGAACUAUACUUGGAAACUACUUUUGUUAGAACUUGAAAGUGACUUUAAGUCCCUUUGGUGAACUCUUGAGAGAGAAUGUACUGGGCCAAGUUCACUCAUCUUGUAAUAAGUAAUGGCUGUACCAUAAAGACAAAGAGUAUUUUUGUUGGUUUGUUUAUGCAAUAUUUUUAAAUUUAAUUAUUUCCAUUUUAAGUAUUAUCCCCAGUUCCUUCUCCCUUUCCUUCUCUCCCCUCCCCAUCCACUCCUCAGAGGGGCUAAGGCUUCCCUUGGGAAGUCAACAAAGUCUGGUAUACACAACCUGGAUGCAGGUGGGAAAACAAAGAGCAUUGAGAAAGACUUUGGAGGCCAGUUGCUCUAUGGGGGCUCAGACAUACCUGUAGGGAAGAGAGCAAUUCACAUAUAAAGGAGUGCAUGGGUCCUCACUAAAAAGCUUGCAGUAUUAUGCCAAAAUUCAGAGAGAAAGAAACAAAGAUGAAGUUAUUAAUGUAAUUCUAGAGCCACAAUGGAUCAGUCAAUAAAAUAAGUGAGAGAAAGCAAAAUGAGCAAACCACAUGCAAUUGACAUGAAAUCAGACUAAAUAUGAGAAUAGCCAAAGAUAAAUGCUUUACUUUGCAAAUAAGAUUAGCUAUAAGAAUUUAACAUGUAAAAUAAGUAUCUUAAAUGUAAAGAAACAGGAGACUAUCAAGCACUCUAGAGGCAUAGCGCUAAAAUCUAAAGUUACAUGAAAGCAGAAAUAAAUUAGUCUGGCAACUGAUUACUCAGAUUAAAUUUCCAUAUCAGAACCACCCUGAGAAACAUCUAAAGAUUUAGAGUAGGAAUUUUGAGGCUAGCAUCAUUAAGAGCACACUGCACCUCCUUUCAUGUGUAUAAACUGCAGCAGAGAAGAUUCUGCCAACCCUAUGAGUGCUGUCCUCAAUGUGGAAAAGCUCCAACCCUCUUCUCCCAUAAUUCAUUUUGUUCAGUGCUCUUCAGAAGUAGAUCAAAGGUAAUUCUUUCUUGAACUUAGCGUGUUGCCAUGUUACCAUCUCAUUUAUAGAAAUAAACUAAUUUUCUCUCAUUAGACAUUUCAGGAUUUGUAUUUCCUCCUAGUCGUCUUAACCACCCUUGCCAAGGGGUAAAAUCGGGACCUUCUGAUUUAAUGAGAGAGCAUGUCUCAAAAUAGGUAUCUGCACCCAUCCCCUCAUGUGCAUACUUUGCAGCACAUUGGUCACACACAAUAUAUAACUUACAUCCAUAUCAACUGAGAUUCGUUCUUGGAUUUCUUGUGAAUAUCAAACUCAGAAGGUGCUCGUGGACCUUAUGGAAGAUGGCUUAGUAUUGGUAUGGGAUCUAGGCAGUCCUCCCAUAUUCUUUAAAACAUUUAUAGACUGUCUAGAUGGAUGGUUUUUCUUCUACAUAUUUGCAUAUAAAAACUGUAUUUUUCUGCCAAAAGAGAAAACUCAUAUUUUCUCCAUUCUUUUUAACUUCAGUUUUAGAAAGAAAACUAUUUCCACCAGGUAAUAGCAUCCUGAACAUAAAAUACUAUCCCCAUCUUCUUUAAAAUGAGGGUAAUCGCACCUCCUAACUUCUGGGAUUUGACCUCUACACCAGCACUGUACUUCUGGCAAAUAAGAACUUCACUGUACUGUAAAUAUAUUAUAUAUAGUAUUAUCAUUAGAGGUGACUGUCCAUUUCAUCCAGGUCAGAAACAGCCCCAUAAAGUGUCACAGCACAAGUGGCAUCUACUGUCAGUGAACUCACAUCCAAUUGUAGUUCCUGUGUGGACUGUGGGAGAUGAGCAUUGUUCUGCCUCCACCCCCAGAAAGACACAUGAGAACACAGAUGACAGCUGGUUUUCUAUUUUUUCAUAAUACAUUUUUCAGUGCUGGACUCACAGCGUGUGGUUCUCUGCUAAUGUCUUACAUUUAGAAUGGCUCUUUCGGGCCAAAACGGUCACCCAGCCUGCUCUAGACCCAUUGCUCAUUCUACAUUUCACCCACCAAUCCAAGCAACAUUCUUCUUUCUUGGCUUCUCCUGGAGUAAUUCUUGUAAAUUUUAUUGUGGUGUACUCAGUAAUUAUAAUUCUCACUGUUUUUAAUAAUUCCUUUUCCCCUAUGCUUUAUCCCUGAAUAUUAUACAUAAGAUAUUUAAAAUAAACAUAUAGUAAAUAAGCAUAUCAGAAAUCACAGUGCCAAAAGUGAGUUAAAUGUAACAAUUAUUGUUUUGGGUUGUUAUUUCAAUCAUUUAGUUCUUGUUGCUUUUUCAAAUUCACUUGUAUGUAAAGAUUUUGUUUAAAAAUCUCCAGUAUUUUCAGGCUUCCUAAUCAAUCCUUUAUUUCUUCAGGCUCUUAUUAGAUUUAUAUUUGUGAGGCAUCCAGGUUGCUUCCAGAUUCUGGCUAUUACAAAUAAUGCUGCUAUGAACAUGGUUGAACAGAUGUCCUUGCUGUAUGAAUGUACACUCUUUGGGGUAUAUGCCUAAGAGUGGAAUUGCAGGAUCACGUGGUAGACUGAUUCCCAUUUUCUUGAGGAGUCGCCAUACUGAUUUCCAAAGUGACUGUACAAGUUUCACUCCCACCAGCAAUGGAGGAGUGUUCCCCUUUCUCCACAUCCUCUCCAGCAUAAAUUGUCAUUGGUGUUUUUGAUUUUAGCCAUUCUGGUAGGUGUAAGAUGUUAUCUCAGAGUUGUUUUGAUUUGCAUUUCCCUGAUGGCUAAGGAGGUUGAGUAAUUUCUUAAGUGUUGUUCAGUCAUUUUAGAUUCCUAGUGCACAAAUGGACUUUGGGAUCUCAUUCCCCAUGGAGGGAUACUCUCUCAGCCCGGAUACAUGGAGGAGUGCCUAGGUCCUCCCCCAAAUGAUGAGACAGACUUUGAUGGUUCCCCCAUGGAAGGUCUCAACCUUCCUGGGGAGUGGAAUGGGGGAUCAGUGGAGGGCAUUUGAGAAUGGGAGGGAGAGGGAACUUGGGUUGAUAUGAAAAAUAAGAUUGUUUUUAUAUUAAAUACAUAAAACACCUUGAAUGUCCACAGCUUCAUGACUGACAUAAUGUUCUUUGCCAUUCAUGUUUUUCCAUUUAAAAAUGUCUAUUUAUUUCUAAUAAUGCUUAAUUAAAUUUUAUUUUACUAUAUAUUUGCUAGAUAUCAGUUUUAAUUUUGUAUUUAUAUGGUUUUUCAUGUCUUUAUUUUAAUCUGUUUAUGUGAUGGUAUGGCGUGUUUUUUUUUUUUUGUUGGGCUGGUUGGUUAGUUGGUUUUGGUGCUAUUUUCAGUAUAUGAAAGAAGCCCAUUUCAAUAUCAUUAUUUUUUCAUUUUUGAAGUUUGAGAUUAUAAUGUAAUUACAUUUCUCCCUCGCCUUUCCUGCCUCCAAAUUCUCCCAUAUACCUUUCCUUGCUCCCUUGCUCUCUUUCAAAUACAUGUCAUCUUUUUUCAUUAAUUCUUUAUAUUAUAUAAUAUAAUUAUAUAUUCCUAAAUAUAACCUGUCUGUCUGUACAAAAUUAUCAUAUGGAUGCUUUCAGAGCUGACUAUUAUUUAAUAAAUAAACACUUGGUGUUAAAAUCUUCCCCAGGAAAUGUCUCAGCAUUCCUUACUUGUCUAUGGUUAUUUGUGUAGAGUUGAGACCUCUUGGGUUUUUCUCCAUCAACUUCAGCAGACUCAUUGGUGUUGUACUUGUUCAGCUCAUGUUUGUCUCAUCAUGUUGGCGAGGCUUUACGGAUGUAGAUUCUGAAAUUUCUAGGAGACACAGUCUCACAACAAACACCCUGAGCUGCUGGGUCUUACAGUCUUUUUGCCUGCUCUUCAACAUUAUUUCCUGAGCCUUAGGUACAGGGCUAUGGUGGAGAUGUAUCCUUUGGGACUGGGUUCCAGUCUACAUAUUAGUUGGUUAUGGUUUUCUGUAUUUUAAUAGACAAGUGAAGACUAUGCACAUCUACUGAGUCUGGGAGGACUUGUAUCUGAUACCUCAUAUUUGAUUGUAAAUGACAGAAUUAAAUUUCUGUCAUUCUUCCCAUUUUUUAAUGAUUUGGUAAGAUUUCCUGUUUAUUUUUGGGGGAAAUAAUCUUGUAAUAAAGACUGUUGUCUGCCUGUUUGUUUUUGGCCUCCCUAGGUGAAUACACUUAAUCUAGAGCUGGGUUCUCUCACCAGCUGUCAGAUUGAGAACUUGGAGCCUCUAGGUUCAGGUCAGCAGCCCAGUGGCUGAAACUUCCAAACAUUCACAUGUGUCCCUUUGUCUACAUAUCUACUUUCUCAAGUUCCCAUGCACCCAGACUCCUAUCUCUAAGAAUAGGAUGACAGACGAAUUUGCUUUACAUGCUAUAAGAAGCCCCUAAAACAUCAUGUGCUAGACUCUGUCCUCUUCACCUGAAGUGACUAAAACCUUGAAACUACAGCCUACUCCCCUUUCCAAGAAAAAAAGUCUCAAUUUCUAGUCUGUUCAGUUUUGUGUUUUUCUAUCUUGUUCCUUGUCUGUAGAAAUGGUUGUCUUUUGAUUCCAAACAUGCCGUUUAAUUUUUUUUCUUGCUCACUACCUGGUUAAAGCAAAGAUGCCAUUUUGACCUUAAGAUGCUCUGUUCACUUUCUAAUUCUGUAAUUAUGGUUUAUUCACUGUUCUCUCUCUCACACACAAGUCAUUCCUUUUGAUUCUCAAAAGACUGUUUUGGAAGUCAGAAAGCUGGGUAUUGGCUGUUUCUUCUUUUCAUUUCCUCCCUAAUGAUCUGCUUAUCCCAAGGCAAUGUACAUGCCUCUAACUGAGAAGGUAAGAGGUCACAGCACAAAGGAAAUGAUAAAAAGUAAAUGUUCAAAAAUUACUAUUUUGAGAUGCUUUCUGUAUAUGUCCCUAAUGAGGACUAUGCCUCAAAGCCUGGGUUUAGGCAUUCUAUGUGCAUGAAAUUGAGCAUAGUCUAACCUAGAAAUAACUACUGAUGAAUUUAAUAUUGACUUCUUUCAGUAUCUUCUAUUCCCCUUGCUCCUUGAGGCCAGGAACUCAAGAAGUAUAAAAAGAAAGAUUAGUAAUGCUUUAAUCCCAGCUGUUUUUGUGGAGAAAGAAACAAAAAGGAAGAAAGUAUGGCAUGAAGAAGGAAAUAAAGAUGAAACAAUCAGCUCCAUGGGGACUUUGAGCUCAGGAUGAUUAAAAAUAUGAUACCUACACAAGAGCAUAGAAGACUCUCAACUAGCUGAGAUUGCAUGGCUGUGGACAAAGACGUCCUGACAACCUAAAAUACAGACCUCAUGAACUGGAUGAGCACUUUGUGGCCUAUUGAAAUCUUGGGUGCAAACCCAGUCAGCAGCAGCACUUUGCAGAUCUUUAUGGAUGUCUAGGCUAUCAUCUAUUAUAGUGUGUGAUUCUCUGUUGGCAAGCAUUCAAAGAUCCAGGAAUUAAGAUGUAGAAAUGGAGGCAGCACAACUCUCUUUUGCUACUUAUGCCCCCCUAGCAAAAGUGUUCCUUCUUAUGCCUUUGGCUAUAUGCUAUGCCAAUAUAGAGGUGUUGUUUCAAAAGGGAGAAAUUCUUCUACCACAUGAUCCAACAUGAUUCCAUUGAAGCAGGUGUCUUAACUGGGCACUUUGGAUUCCACAUAUCUCUGAGUCAACAAAAAAUGAGGGUUGAUUGUACUGAUUAAGUGAUUGGCUUUGAUUACCGUGGGGAGUUUGACUUACUACGACACACUUGAAGUGAGAAACUGUUUCUCACACACAAGCAGUUUCCUCUUAGGGCUAUUACAACUGCGAUUAAACAGAGGAAAACUGUAACAGCACAGUUAAUAGGAGACUAUUAAUUGUUCACAAUGUCAAUAAUUGUUCACAUUGUCAAGAAUCAAAGCUUGGGUCAGGACCCUACACAAGAGACUGUAACUAGGCAAGCAGCCUGCUGAGACCAAAGGACCAUGACUAAUGAGGUACCUGUUGAGGAAAAAUGAAAUAGGGUAAAUCAAAAAAGGUACAUAGAUAUUAUAGCUAUGUGACUGAAACCACUUAGUCCAGUGGUUCUCCACCUGUGGUCUGUGAACCCUAUGACAAGUCUCUAUCUCCAAAAAUAUUUACAUUGCAAUUAAUAAUAGCAGCAAAAUAACAGUCAUGAAGUAGCAAUGAAAAUAAUUUUAUAAUUGUGGUCACCACAGCACAAGGAACUAUAUUAAAGCACUGCAGCAUUAGGAAGGUUGAGAAGCACUGGUUAAGUCUUAAUCAAAUGUAAAAAGUAAGAUCUUAGUAGUUAUUUUGUUACAUGUAUCUUUAUGCACAUGUAAAUAUUUUGUGUGUGUGCAUGAAUAUAUUUGUGUGCACAUACAUAUAUCAGUGAGCACAUGUGUAUCAAGGUCAGAGGCCAAUACUAAGUGUCUUCCUCAAUUCUCGUCUGCCUUAUUUUUUGAGAUAGUGUCUUACUCAACCUGCAGGUUAUCAAUUUGAUUAGACUCCUGUCCCCCAAAACCUUAGGAUUCUCAUGUCUCCACAUCUCCUGCUAGGAUUAUAGGUAUGCUACUGUACGCAGCUUUUUGUGUGGGUGUUAGAGAUCCAAUAUCAGAUCUUCAUCCUGGUAUAGCAAGCAUUAUACUGACUGAGUCAUAUUCCCAGCAUAACAAGUAACUUUUUUUCUUCUUUGAUAUUUUGUCAUAUGGCAUAAGAUGCAUUAUGAUUAAUCCUAGAAUUCUAUAUUUAAGUUUCAGUGUAUCAAGAAGGAAUAGUAUAUAUCACUUCAGGACUUUAUGUACCCUUUAUGGAAAAAGUGAACAAUUUCCAUUGCAUGUAAGAUAAUUGUAGUGUAUGAGAACUAUAAAUUAGUUAUUGUCAUUCUUUGGAUAUUACAUAGAUUUAAAGAUACAUGUGCAGCUACCCGGCUAGCAAGGGAUGGAGUGUAAAAAUCAACUUUAUAUGUUAACCUAGCUUGUCUCUGGUUGCCAGUUAUUCAAUUAGUCACUAAUCUCCAUGUAUCUGACUAGUACAGGUGGGCAAAGGGAAAGAAAGCCCAACAGUAUAACUUUUCUUGUUCUUUUCCAUAAAAGCAUUGAUUCUCACAAAGUGGGACUACAGAUUAACUGUUAUAAUAGGUGCUUUGUGUUUAAUCUUCACUAUGACGUGAAUGGAUGAGUAAUAGGAUACCCUGACCACAGAAUUAACUACUGUUAUCAUAAUUCAAAAGAUACAGUUGCAGAUACGAGAUAAAUAAUCCAGAAUAUUGGGAUCUAAAUGGUCCAAAAACUGGGAAAGUCUUAACUUUCUAAAUGUUACAACCUCCAAUGAUUAAAUUACUCAAUUGUAGUUGGAUUUUCUUGGACCACCAGCCUGCAAAUAAUAACUUGGACUUACUAUUAAUUAUGGAAGCUUGGCAAUUAUUAGCUUAGGCUUGUUCUGCUAGCUAUUAUAACUUAAAUUAACCUGAUUUGUAUUAAUUUACACUCUAUCAUGUGGCUUUGUUCCCUCUCCUCUGUACUGUAUGUCUGAUUUGUUUAGAGGAUUGUUGGCACCUCUCCACCUCUCUUUUUCCCAGACCUCUCUCUCUCUCUCUCUCUCUCUCUCUCUCUCUCUCUCUCUCUCUCUCUCUCUCUCUCUCUCACACACACACACACACACACACACACACACACACACACACACACACACACACACAAACUCCCUCCCUCCCUCCCUCCCUGGGAUUCCUACCUAUUCCCUCCUGCCUAGCUAUACAUGCAGCAGCAUGGACCCAGAAUCUUCCCAGAUCUGGGGUGGAUAGACUGCCUCCAGGCCAGGGUCCAUAGUCAUAAAGCUCCCUAUCACUGACCAGAAGAGGGUGGAGCUAGCCUCCAGACCAUGUGUUAAGCUAUCCCAGUGGUAGAGAGCCUGGCAGACUAAGGUUUGGCUCACACCAUCAGAGAAUGCUGUAGGCACUUAAUAAAGCCAGGUCCAGAAUCUGAAAACUUCUAAAAAGCAACAGCAUGCUUAAAUGGAUUUUUAGGUGCUGAGGAAAGAAAAAAAUGGGUAUAGACAGGCAUAAAAAUAGUUUAAAAAUAAUAAAGUCUUUAAAGAGAGAGAACAGAAACUCUGGCUAUCAAAUGGUGCCCAACAAAGAGCACGAAUUUCCACAUAAACCUGACAAAAGCUUAAAAGGGGAUUAUAAACACAAAAUAACAGAGGCAAGCAAAGUUUCUUGGUAACAGCAUUUUCUCAGGUGUUAUCUGUUUACUACAGAAAAUCAGAAGCUCCCAGCUCCUUUAAGAGAGGUUUCUUGACUCAGAGUUAACAGCAAAAACUGCAUGGCUCUUAAAAGAAGCCCUGUUACCAAACAAUUCAAUGAUGUUUACAAACAGCCAGCAACAUGCUUCUUGGUGGUGACUAGAAACUCUGCAGAGUUGUGGCAAUAAGUAUGGUUCCCACCAGUACUUCACCAUGAAGCUACUCUCAGAAAGCCAAGAAAUAGAAUGGGACCAGACACCUCUUUAAUUUAGCCAUACUGUUUAGCAGAUAAGACUCAUGUGGUUAGAAAAAAAGAUAGAGAUAUACAGUAAAGAUAGAUUCAGAGAAACAAAACCAUAUACAUAGGCUUGAGAGAGAAAAGGAAAAAAGCAAAAAUAAAAAAUAAAAAAAAAUAGAGUAUCUGGGUGUGGUGGCACAGGCCUUUAAUCCAAGCAGCUGGUAAGCAGAGGCAAGCAGAUCUCUUCGAUUUCAAGGCCAGCCUAGUUUAUAAAGUGAAUUCCAGGACAACCAAUGUUACACAGAGAAAACCUGUCUCAAAAAAUGAAAGUAAAAGAAAUAGAGUAAUAAAAUAAAAAAAGUCACAUAAAGAUGGAAAGUACACAGAAAGUCUGGAUAGUGUAUGUUAUUGUGUUGUCUUUAAAUUUCUGCUAAAGGAGAAACAGUUGCUAAAAGACAUUUGAUUAUAAAUGCUGCUAGAUAAAUCCAACCUAUAUAUUUUGAAUAUUCCUUGACUUUAAAGUUCAAGUAUAAGGACAUGUUACUUUGGAAAAGAGACUGUUUUUGUUUCCACAGAUGAUGAAAAGCUGUGGAUUCCUUCCAGACUAAUAAGGUUUGAUGAAGCAAAAGCCCCUUGGAGCAAUGGCCCAGGUGAGCCAACAUCCAAAACAGCAGAGAUGAUGCAGUCUCAGAUUUGGCCAUGAUUUAGGUUUUCUCAGGAUCCCUAUGGCAUUGACAGUGCUCCCAAACAGCAGGAAACAGUUUGGAGAGAAUGAAGCCCAAAUUCCCAAUUACUGUUUAUAAAUGUUUGUUUUCAUUUAAAUGGAGUUCGUCAUAAAUGGUUAAUAGUCACAGUCAAUAUCUUUCUAAAGCAAAAAAUGGAGUAUGAUAUAAAAGUGAAUACUUUGCAUUGGUAUGGAUUUUGGUUUAUUGAUAUAAAUUUAAGGUCAAUUUUGUUAUAUGUAUAUUUCUUCUCUUAUUUAGGUAUUAUGUUUAUACAGUUCAUUAAAAUGUAAUGUAUAACUAAAUACAGAUUAAAGAUAGUCACCCAUAGGUGGGGGAGAAGGAAUGGGAGUGAGGGGAGGGAGAGGGAGAGGGGAAUUACAUGUGAAACAAGCCUGUUCCCUAACUUGAAUUAAUAAUAAUAAUAAUAAUAAUAAUAAUAAUAAUAAUAAUAAGAGAAAAAAGAAAAGAAAAUGUGACAUCUUCUUAUAAAUAAAAAUAAAUUUUUAAAAAUUAUAAAAAAAAGAUAGUCACCCAUAAUAGUCAAAACCUAAUAGUUCUGUUAGUUAGGUUUUCUAGAUAUACAGAGAUAUGCUUAACUGAACAGGUAGUUUUCAAAACCUCUUAAAGACCUACAGAAUACGGCAUUUUAAAUGGUUUAUUAGGGUUUCUCAUGACAGUGAGACAUAACUGCUUCUGGUAACACCAAUAAUGUCAGAGAGGAAGAGGAGCAUUGAAGAAACUUGUUAUGGAGUUUGCCUUCAACAUGGCAGAAAUAGCCACUUGGGCAAGAAACUCCUCUUGCCUGGACAGUUUGACUCUAUGCUGUAUAAAAUGGACAUUCAUGACUCACAGGAAAAUGACUGCUGAAUUUGCCAAAACAAGAUAGGGUAAGCCUUCAGGGUUCAUGCUUCAUGGAGGAGUCUGCCAGACAUUCUGCAGGACAUAGAGAAAAAUGACUGACAAACUGCCAGUACAUGUGGGACAAUUUCAAAUUUCUCACAUUGUUGAGAAGUCUGCCAGACAUUCUAGGCCUGUAUGCUGAAAAUGGAUGCCCUGACAUUACUGAAGAACUUUGGAUGACUGUCCAGGCAGCAAGAUGUCUCUGUCAAUUCUAGAGUUUACAUAUUAUCCUUCUGAGGUCUUUGAUGGGGUUGAAGACAUAUAGUUAUGAUUAUGGUUUUCCUUAGUUAUGAUAAAAGAUAAAUAACACAUAAAACUUUAGACUCACAAAGAUAGGAUAGAUGAUAAAAUAUUUACUUUAAAUUUUGCCAAGUGUUGAUGGACUAAAUAUUGUUAACCAUAGUUUUGAUUGAUAACUGUUUUGUUACAUAUAAUUUUACUAUGUUAAAGUUAAAAACUUUCUUUUUAUUUAGACAGAAAAGAUGAGAUGAUGGAGGAUGUUCUUCUGUAUACAUGUUUGUGUUAUUGGUUGGAGAAUAAAACACUGGCCAGUAGCUACCAGAUGAGGAGAAUUCUGGGGAGAGGACAAAGAGAGGAGCCACAGGGAAAGCCAUGUAGCUACAGUGAAGAUGGGAUUGCUGGGUGUUCUUUGGUAAGAUAAAGUCAUGUAGAAAUAUAUAGGUAAAUAAUAAUGGGUUAAUAAUUAAGAGAAAGCUAGACAAUUAGAAGCCUGAGCCAUAGGCCAAAAAGUAUAUAAUUAAUAUAAGUGUCUGUGUGUUUAUUUGGGGCUGAAGGGCAGCUGGACCAGGUGGAACAGAAACUCUGGCUACAUAAAGUAACAUAUAUAGAUAGUAAUAUAUAGCAACACACACAUAUGUGUGUUACUAUACAUACAUACAUACUAUACAUGUAUAUGUAUAUUACUAUAGGUAAAGAUAGGAAAUACAAUGGUAACUGGAUGUUGUAUGUUGCUGUGUUCACUUUAAAUUGUUUGAAUGCUAUUGAGCAGAGGGCAAACACUGAUGUGAGACAUUGAAUUGUAGAAAGCCUGCCAAAUCAAACCAACUAGUAUAUUUUAAGAAUGUCUUAAAUUCAGAUUGGAAGUGAAAAAUAUGUUGCAUUGGGGGAGAGGCUUUGCUUUUGUUUCCAUAAGAAACAAAAAAUAAAACUAUGAAUUUCUUCAAAAUUAGUAAAAAACAGAUAUGAUCAGGGGAGACCUCCUAAAAAUCUUGGCUAUACAUAUGAAGAAAACAACAACAACAAAGUCUACAAGACAGGUUUGUAUAUAAUGAUCUUUCUACAUGGGAACUCCUCUGAGACUUUAUGACACAUGAUAAAUCUGAUUGGCUACAGAGUCCUCAUAACUUACUAUUUCAUGGCAUUCUUUCAUAUGACAUGGAUAGAGGCUUGGUUACACAGUCCAAACAGACUUAUAAGAUUAACAGAUGUGCCAGGCAUUGGUGGCAUAUGCCUUUAAUCCCAGCACUAGGGAGGCAGAGGCAGGGGAGUUCAAGGCCAGCCUGGUCUCCAGAGCAAGUGCCAGGAUAGGUUCCAAAGAUCACAGAGAAACCCUGUUUCAAAAAAAACCAAAAUAAAUAAAUAAAUAAAUAACAGAUGCUCUUUAUCUAUUCAAACGUAGAACAAAGACUCAUCUUUUGCUGACUUAUGCAUACCACACAUUCCAUGCUUGUGUCAAUAAAGAUAUAUUUGUUACCUUUAAAAGUUUGUUUUCAGAAAAAAAAGGAGCAGAAAUCAAGUAAAACAAGUAAUCCAUGUGACCCAGCCUCUCAGAAUGCUUCAGUUACAGUGUCCUCAAAAUUCUGCAUGUAGAACACCUUCAAACUUGCUAACUAAAAUGGUUCAGCCUCACAUACUACACCAUCUAGGAUUUCAGAUAAGGUCUACACUUUCACAUCACAUAGAGACUAAACAAAAAACAAUAUAGCUUGCUUUCCCAGGAAUUGACUAUUGUCCCAAUAUUUUCAGGGUCCCCCCAAAGAUGCUGUCACCCCCAAAUAUCAGGAAGCAGUCUAGAGAACAUGAUGCCUAUAUCCCUAAAUCAUGGUGUGGGUGGUUUUUGGCAGUUUGGUUGAUUAUGGAUGUUUGCCAUUGUUUAAGAGGUGUUAGCUGCAAGAUGUUAUAUUCAAGGAGGAAGCUAAAUGAAGGAGAUUAGCUUCAGGGAUCUUGUUCUAAAAAAAGAGAAAGAAAAUAUAGAAAUGCUAGGAUAUAACAAUAGAUUAUUGAAUCUACUUUUAGAUGAAUAAGCAGCUACUAGUCUCAAAUAUUUUACAUUGAUAUGGAUUUUUGUAUAUUGAUACAAAAUUAAAGUUAUUUUUAUUAUAAUACACUAUGUAUAUGUUUCUAUUCCCUUUUAAGGUAUUGUACCUAUGCAGCUUAUUUAAAAAAUGUGAUGUAAAUUUCUAUACCUUGAAAACUAUUAUUAUAAACUGUUUAGGACAAUAAGAAAUGCAGGUUAGUAUUUAGUCAUCUAUAAAAAUCAGACUAAUACUCAUGUUGGGUAUGGUUUCAAUUUUAAACAGAUAUAUUUUAGAUAGAUAGGUGGAUUUCAAACACUUCAGGGACCUACAGAAUAUGGCAUUUAAGAUGUUUUAAUAAUAUAAGCCUCUCAUGACAGUGAGAUAGUCUAUUCCUGGCAGCACGAAUCUACUUCAAAAAAAAAAAGAUGAUGUGCAUCAAAGAAGCUCCAUAUGGGGUUUGCUUUCAAUGUGAUAAAGCUAGGCACUGGGUAAGAAACUUCCAUCACCUCAACUUCUGACAGUUGGCUGCCCAAAUUAGACAAGCAGGAAACAAAGGAAGGGUACUUGGCCAAGACAAGGUAGGACAGUCCUUCAAAAUCCCUGUUUCACAGAAAAGUGUUUCAGAUUUUCCAGGCCUGUAGGCUGAAGAUGGAUGCUCCAAUGUGCAAAGGAACCUUGGAUGAUUAUCCAGUCAGCCAACUGUUUAUGUUAUUUCUACAGUUUUGGAAAUUGCUUGCUCUGCACUUCCUGUUUACUCAGGUAAAAUUUUAUCCUUCUCAAGUCUAUGAUGGGGGAUAAAGGCUAGAUAGCAUCACUGUUUUCCUUGUUACCAAAUUCAGAAAAGAAACUUUACAUAAGAAAUAUAGAGUUUAUAUGGUUGAGAAACAAACAAAAAAAAACUUAAGUGAUUUGCCUAAGAUGUUUUAAGGUCUAAAAAGAUAUUUUAGGGUGGUAAUACAGUUAUGAUAGAUAGUGGUUUGGGUAUAAAACUUUGGAUUCCCUAUGAUAUAAUAGAUAAUAUAGUACUUUCUACUAAUUUGCUAAAUGCAUUUGGACUGGACAUUGUGAAUAUAAUUCUUACCUAAUAAUUAUUAUUAUUGUAUGUGGUUUUAUUAUGUUAAAUUUAAAGUCUUCUUCUUAUUAGAUAAGAGGGAGAAAUGUUGGAAGAUAUUUGUAUACACUGUGAAGAUGUGGUGGUUUGAUUGGCUUAAUAAAGAACUGAAUGGCCAAUAACUAGUCAGGAGAGAAUAGGCAGGACUUGCAUGGAGAGAGAGGACUCUGGGUAGAAGAGAGGCAGAGACACAGAACAAGUUAGGUAUAUAGUACAGAGAAGUAACCAAACCAUGUAACAAAAUGUAGAUUAAAAAUAUGGGUUAAUUCAAGUUAUAAGAGCUUGUUGGUAGCAAUCCUAAGCUAAGGCUGAACUUGCAUAAUUAAUGUUAAUUCUCUGUGUCAGUAUUGGGGAGCUGGUGGUCCCACAAAGGAAAGUCUGGCUGCGUUGGAGAAAGUUUACUACACUUAAUGUUAAACUACAGAAAUCCCAGGCACUGCAUUUCCCAUUGGGGUUUGAGGGAAGCUCCAUCUGAGCAACAAGAAGCCAAAAUCUGGGGAAAGGACUGGUGUGAUUUUGAUCACCUGUAACAGCUGCCAAUGUGUGCGCUUUUAUGUCACUUCCUCCCCUUCACAUAGAGCACUAGGACUUUAAUACUCUGAGAAUAAAAUAAUUUGAAGAUUUCACAACCUUUUGAUCCAAAAAUACUUAAUGAUACAGAAUUUUCCUUGAUGUUAUACAGUACAUUAAAUGGGGAAUUACUUUUGGUUAAAAAUUUGACUGUUGAAAUGAUAGAUUCCAUAAUUUUACCAUUAAAUCUGACACAGAAAAAUUAAGUCACCUUGGCUAACGGAUGGCACUUUGACACUUUCAUAAAUUUCCCCACUGUUUUUAACUGACCCAUACAUUCAUGCAUGCAGUGAUUAGUUUUAUUUAUCAUCUUGACACAAUCUGGAAUCACACAGGUAGGGAUUAUCAAUGAAGGAUUGGCCUAUAGGCAUGUCUGUGAUGAUGGUGGUGGGGUGGUUGCCUUACUUAGGUUAAUUGAGGCAGAAACAUUUGCCUACUGUGAGUGGCUUCAAUUGUAGGUGAUCCUGGUUAUCCCCAAACAAUGUGAGUGGGGAACUUGAGCUGAAUGCAAAUAUGCAUGCAUUCAUUCUCACACUGCUCUUCAACAAGAUGUGACUAGCUAUUUCAAGUUCCUGUGGCCUUCCCUGCUGUGAUGUGUUACCUAGUACUGAGAAAGAAAAUAAACCCUCUAUACAUUGCUUUUACCAUGUUAUUUUUUUUUUAAAUCACAGUAGCAGGAAAUAAAACUAAGACAAUUCCCUGUUUGAUGUGAAUAUUCUAGAACAUAUUUAUGUAUUAGUGACUGGAAAAUGCAGCAUCUUUUAAUAUGGAGUUUGCAGAAGAAAACAGAUUUUAAUUAAAUUUGCAGGUCACAACAAUAGAUUCUGAAUUAGGUACGAUUAGGCAUCUGAAAUUGAGUUUCAAAGUAUGGUCAGGGAGAUUUGCUUUUUCCAUUAAGCCAAAUAAAUUUAUCAGAAAAUUUAGACUGAGUGGAUUGGCCACACAAUACAGAAAGCACAAAAACUUAAAUUUUAAAAUAGUAUUUGCCUUCAUGGUCUUUUUCUCUGCUAAAAUUUCAGGAGCUCUUAAUAAAUUAAAGCCACUGAUAAAUAACCAAAUAUCUAGUAGCGUAAGAAGACACUUAUGUAACAGUAUAGAUGAGUGGACGCUGGUAUUAUUUCCACCAAAUCUGUGGAUUGUGCAUUAGUGCAUAUGGAAUGGACUUCUGUGUAGCACAACAACACAGAAGUGGGCAAAGAAGGCAGGGAGACUUAAUAGGUGAUAUCUAUUCAAUGCUCAUGGAAAGAAAAUGAAUGUGAGUGAAUUUGCCAAAGAAGAGAUAUGCACUAAAGAAAAUAAGUUAGCCACUGAUGUGCAAGAUUUCAAAAUAUAGUUGAUGUUCAUGAAAGCCAGUGAAUCAUCUGAAGAACAACUGUACAAUCCAUCACAAACUCUAUAAUCUCAGAACCAUAUACUUUUCAUACACUGAAUUAUUUUUGUUGUUGUUCAUUUAGUUUUUUCUUAGAGUUUUAAAUUGUUAACAAUUAUGUCAAUCAUUAUGCUUUAUAUUUUAUCUUUGAAUCAUUUUCCAUAUUGAAUCAUUUCUAUAGUAGGCAAUAAUUAUGUAAGGACUUUUAGGGACAUUCUGUGCAAUAUUCUGCAUAUUUGUCUCCAUAAAAUAAAAGUAAAAUACCACAAGAGUAAUUUUGCCUGCAAGUCUUAUUUGGGCAUCUAUGAAAACUGAAAUUUUUAUGAUAAAUGUGGUCAUGUCAUUCUUCUACAACUAUAUUUGCAAAAGAUGAAGCAACUUGAGACUUCAGCUCAUUGGGUAUAGUCUACACAAUGGUGAGCAUUGCAAGGCCUGACCCAACUUGUCAAAACAUGUAAGUUAUCCAUCAUGAUAUGUAUAUGAACACUGCAGUAUUGGAACUGGUGUCCUCAGUUUUCAGACAGUGACAAUCACUCAUGAAUUUUGCUUGUGUCCUGUUUCUUAAUGAACACAGUACAUCUUCUCAUGGCAUUAUCCUUAAGCAAGUAUUAUGAGCACGCAUACUUGCUUGCAGAAUGUUAUGUUUUUAUUAUAUGUUGGUUAUGUAAAAUGCCCCAGGAAUUAUCAUACUGACUAUCUAGGUUCUUUAAAUUAUGCUCCUUUAAAAUGUAAAUGAAUCAUUAUUAAGGAAUUUUAGAUUAUUUUUCUGAAUUAUGUAUCUAGGAUUUGGGUUUUUGAUGAUUUUUUUCUUUAGAGAUUUCACACUUUAGGGAUUUUGACCUUUUCAAUGUUCAGCAUUCAAGAUUAUGAUAUUUACUAUGUCUCUAGGUAACAUGGGGAAAGCCCACGUUUUGAAUUUAAACUCAAAUUGUAUGAUUUCAAAACUGAGCCUUUCACAUGGAGAGUUUUGUACUCCCUCACUCAAAGGGUAGAUUUCAGAGGCAACCAUAGAUAACAUCUGUGCAAAUGACUCUGAGUUUCCUCUCCAAACUUCUCUUCUACGAUCUCUUGUCUUAUUCUCAGCAAACACAUUGCUUUCUGCAUCAAAUCUUCUUCUUCUUCUUAAAAAUAGUUGUAUUGGAUGAAUAGUAUUUCCCAGACAAUUCUUCUCUGGGAAAUACUAUUCAUCCAGCUUUCAGCAUUUUCCUCGGCAGAGCACUCCCCUGUCAACUUUAGCAUGACUAGUGCUGUAGUCCUUGUUCAGUUUUUGUGAGGUAGUCAUGUUGGGAUUACUUUUUUGCUUCUGAUAUUCUUGAGAGACACGGUUCUCACAGCAAACUCCCUGAAAACAUACACUCAAGUAACAUUAUACAGACUUGACAGGUUAUAUUUAUGUACUUAGAAAUAUAUGUAUAUACCUCUUGUUUGAUUGCUUUAAUCUGGGAGUAGGCUGGGUUGGAAAUCAUAGGGUAGAACUGUGUUCCUCUGUCUGGCUCCAGGGGGCAGCAGCUUCUUGGGCAAAGGGAGACAAACUGUGAGGAACAAACUGUAACUGGUAGAUCUAGUGUCUUAAACCCCAGAGGAAAGGGGAGACACCCCCCCCCCCACACACACACACACUAAAAUGGACAGCUCUAAAAAGACCUAAAAUCCCCAGAAAUCACACAUCAAUUCAAAAGAAAUGAUGGCUUUCGGGAGAUCCUCAGAACAUGAAAUUCACUGGUGUUGUGAGAGUAUUUUUCUUGAAGGGUUUUCCUUAGAUUUUCCUGGAUGAGAUUUGGUGAGAGCAGAUUUAUUUUUAACAAGUGCACACACAUGGCAUCCUCUUUCUUAGUGACAAGAACUUCUCAUAUUUCCCAAAUGUGCCUGGCAAGCCCUGCAACCAGAGAAAGGAGACUGGGAGACCUGCUGUUCCAUGGUGCAUGACAGGAGACAGAGAGCCAGUCUGGUUUCCCUCUCAGGACCGAUUCAAGGGGGAUGUGCUUCAUUCACAGUCAUGUCCACACUCUCUCUUACCCAGUGGUAUAUCUGAAUAUUUACUCUAUUUUCUUCUUGUCAUUAUUGGAAAAGCAGGAAGAAAAGUAGCUUAAUGCAUGAGAGUGGGGUAAUUCUAUCAGGAUUGCCAACAUUUUGUUUUCUUCAUCUUCUCUUUCUUACAUGUGGCUUUAAGCCCAGUGCUUGUAGCAUGAGCCCUUGAAAUUCUAGCAGCCAGAAAGCUGAGGUUUCUGACAGAAUGAAUAUGCAUGGCACACAUAAUCUACAAUUUAUUAGGCUGCUUCACAGGUCAUUAUUGAGAUUUGAUUGUAAUGCUUGGUGGCAUUAACAUCCUCUCCACAUCCCCCUAACAACGUUUAUGGUCAGUAAUAAUAUUAGCUCAAUCCGUGAGCCUCAGUCUGCAGAAUAAAGCAACUUGAGCUCAUCUUGCCUCAUUACUUCUAACAGGGCUCCUGUAGUCAUAUCACACUUCAGUGACAAGCCAGACAGAACGACAUCUUUUAAAUAUUGUCUCUGACAUACUUCUCUCUGAAACGCUAGCCUUUCAAUUAGUGCUGUGCAUCAGAAGUGACAGAUUCUAGAAGAGUCACGUCUCUAAGCGAGCCUAGUAAUAGGUGAUCCACCAAACUAGUGGGCUAGAGAAGAUAACCAUGAAUAAAUUCACUACAUCCUGUUUGAAGAUGUUUCCACAGCACAGACAGGCACUGGUCAAGAUGCCCACCUAUCUCUCCUGACAUUAUGUUCCCAUUUUUCAGGUUCUGCAUCCUUUGCAACUAAAGGCUAUCUCCUUCACCUAUAGGCUUUACAGAUACCAAGAGUGUUCUCCCAUGGGAGCUCAUAGGUGAUACCCUAUUUGUGGAGGACUGCAAAUGCCUGUUUCCUUUGCCUUUGGGACACACAACCUGACAUGUGAUUUAUACUGCAUAGACCUUGUAGGAUCAAGCUGAGGUUGAGGCUUAACUCAAAAUCACACCAAUGCAUGUUUUCUUCCCCUCCCUGACUGAUUCCCACAAGCCUCUACUCUCCAGGGAACUCCUCUGUAAUAAAUCACUUGGCAGGAAUGCUUGGCUCAGAGUCUGCUUUGGGAAGAGCAGGACCUCAGAUGUAUCUGGAGGCUCCCAAAUCCAGCUGUGUGAAUACUCAUAACUAUUUUAUUUGGGAAUUCAUUCGGCCAUCACAGAAACAUCUAGGAACACAAAUCAUUUGUAUUCCCACACAUCCAAUUCCCUUCUUCACCCCUGGUCAAGGCCCAGGAGCCUUCAGCAGAUUGUGCCUUGUCAAAGAAGGGAAUCAACAUGUUUCUGACUGCUUGCCAUUGUCAGUUAUGGUCUUAAUUCCAGCUUUGUGCUCUCACCCAUCACUUUGAGCAUGUGUUACUAGAUCUGUUUUAUAGUCAAGAAAGCUGAAGUUCAGAGAGGUUAUAAAAACAGAACAAAUUCCCACAAACUAAGACACAACUCGGGCUUUUAAGCUUCAAAUCCAGUGAGUUGUGCACAAACUUUACAGCUUUGAUGUUCCCACCUGAAAGUAAAUAAUGCUGAGAAGAGGUCACAUCACCAUUGCAUCUAGAACCAGACAGAGCCCAGUCCUCUCCAGCAUCAUGACAAUGACUAAGUGCCAUGAUUAUGCUGAAGCACAAUGACAAUGACUAAGCCGCCAACCUCUCAUUCCUGUGAGUCAUUGUUCUUUUCCAACUAUGACCUAGUUCAGGUUAAUCAUUCUAACUCCUAGAUAAAUGUUUCCCAAUUUCUUGACAAAAUCCAGCCUAAAACCAGGCCCCUGCUUUCUGAUUCUCCCCUUAGAGUUAUUUCAAGUCCGGUCUAUUCUCAAGAGGCUCCUAGACUCCACUGAGCUUCACUCUCCUUUCCUGCAGCACCCGAAGAAGCUUAAUUAUGUUGCCAUCAGAGGAGUCCCUGGUGGUUUCAUUGUCUGCAUUUCUUGAUUUAUCAGGUGGUUUUCCAAUAUAAUUUUUCCUUAGAACAAAUAUGCUAUUGUCUAGUAUCAUAUUUCAUGAAAUGUUAGUCUGUAUUUAUUGUAAAAAUGUAUGUGUACUGAUAAGAAAGUUUAAAAAUGCUCCUGUAAACCAUGAUACCAUUUUUUGUAUUAGCCUUGAGCAACGCCUGAAUCAGUCACAUUAGAUUCUUGUGGCUUUAGUGUUUCACAUACUCCAAGGAUGUGGUCAUGUCUUUUGACUUCGGUUGCACUAGUUGUCUGGGGACACAAUGUUUUUGCCUGUGCCUUUGUAAUAAAAUUUAACUACUGUACUUGCGAACAUCUCCCUUCUUAGAAAACCUGGUGUUCCUCUGUGUGAAAACAAUUUCCUUAUUCCUCCAAAAUCAAAUAUUUGCUUCUUUAAUAAUAACUUUAUACCUCAAAGCCCUAUUCUUGUUCCCUUCUGUUUCCAUCUCAGUGUCCAGUUACUGAUGACAAUUAAACAGAACAAAGAUAAUACCAUCCCUGGACAUGGAACACAGGCAAUGGUGUUUAAACAUUGAAAGGCACAGGCAAGAUUGUUAGGUCUUGAUUUUUACCUGACCCAAAGAUAUUUUAGAAGCAAAAUAUAUCUCAAUUUCAGCCAUACUAAACGGGAGAAAACAUACACCUUAACAUUAAUAAAAUGCAAGAAUGUCGCUAUGAUUAGUUCAUAUCUUAAAUAGAAAAUCUCACUAAUGUAAGUAAAAAAUGGAACUAACCUUUUAAACAGAAUCAUUUAAUUAUUAAUUUAUGUGUGUACAUGCCACACUGAACAUGUAGAUAUAAGAGGACAACUUGAAGGCAUUGUUUCCCUCCUCCCAACAUGUGGGUCCUGAGACUGACGUCAGAUUUUAACACUUGGUAGCAACCCUCUUUACCCACCAUGCCAUCCCAUCAGCCUAGCACUCACUUUUUAAAGCAUCACAAACAAAAGUAGUGUGGGGCUUUCUCUCUAUUAAAGUAAACAUGUGUAGGCACAUCAUUUUUUUCUUUUGCAAGAAGAAAAAUAUAGUUCUAUAUCAGAUAAAAUAUUCCUAGGACCAACAUUCAAGUUACUCAUUCAUGGUUAGUCAUUAGAGGUGGGGCUGAAACUCUAUUCCAACCUUUUAUCUCCCCAAAUCUUCUCCAUAGCAUGCAAAAGCUGGGAGACCAGGCAGCUUGGGGGAACCUGAUUCGAGCUACAGAUCUGGGGAAACAUCCUCAUGCAUUUUGUGCAGUGUUUCAGGAGCUUCACAUGUAUUUUGUACACUAUUUAGGGAGCGUCACACAAUCCUGAGUGAAGUGUGGGGUGCUCUGUAAAUCCCUCCAGAUACAACACUCCAAGAAAAUAGUCCCCAAGAGAGUUUCUUUUGAUGAGGGAAAUCCCAGCUGCCUUUAAACCCCAAGGUAUACUAUUUUGGGUCCGCUUAAGCCAUCAGGCCACGUUUUCAGUUAUAGAGAAAGGAUAGAAAGAAGGACAAGAGAGGCUAAAUCUUCCCUGAAAAUUCCACUUUUUGAAUCUAUGACACACUUCCCAGGAGCCUGAGGUUGAGCUUUGUGUUUUAGUUUAGUGCCCAGGAGGUAGCCCUCUAUUGUUUCAGAGCAUAAAUGAGGUUAUUAUGCUUUAUUACAUAGCAAACAACAACAAAAAAAAACCGCACACUCCUACAACAGAAAAACCCACACCAGAGAAGCACAGAAAGCCUUCCACAAAUGGAGAGAAAGGAGAAUUCUGUGUCGUAUAUAGAAACAACCAGCAACUUCUGAGAUGAAUAUUUAUUCUUUAAAGCUCCUGGUAUUUGUGCUGUAUACAUUGUCAUCGUUAAAAAUGUGAAGGUAAAUAUUUAUAAACAGCUGUUAGGGAAACUAGACUUCUUGGGAGGAAUGUUGAACUCAAAUUGCUGCUUGGGGUUUUUCUUUUAAGAUGGAAAUAUGCAGACUGACUCUAAAUAUAAACCUUCCUCUUGAAGUUCUUGUCUCUCACAGCCCAGAUGAGGCUAGGCUAGAAUUUAGGAUUAGGACCCAGAAUAUGACAGCUUUAAAAGAAAAGCUGGUCCAAAAGGAAAUACUACUUCUCACCAAUUGCAGUGUUCAAACAGUAAUGAUUUAGAGUACUAAGGACUGGAGAGUGACUGACCUGGGCUAUUUUAAAUGCAGCUAGUGGGGUAGUGUCUAACACAUAGCUGAGGGGAUGUCCCAAACACAGCUGGGAGGUAUGGGGAAGUUAGUGCAACUCCUUUGUCAAAUUAUUUUGGUGGCUGUUAAUAUCAAAACCCACUCAUCUAUUCCAUUAAUUUCAUUUCUACAUAUUUACCUAAGAGAAAUAAAACUGCAUAAUCACCCCCAAAAGUAUAUAGGAAUAUUCACUGCAGGUUUAAUUCAUAAGCCAUAAACUAGAAACUACUCACAUUUCUAUCAACAGAUAAAUACAUAAAUGGAUUAUUCUAGGACAGUAUAAUGGUAUGUUAGCCACACAGUGGAAGCAGUUACUAACAUGUCCUAUUGAUUUGUACUCAUACAUAGAUUUCCAAAUAAACAGCAUUCUGAUCAAGCAAGAGGGAAACAGAUUACAUAUUCUACAUACUAUGGCUUCAUAUAGCUGAAAUUAAAAAAAAAAGAGUAUUCAUUUGUAAUCUGGAAAGCAGAUUGGUCCCAACUGGCCUCAAGCUGGUGACCCUCCUGUCUUGAGCCUUUAGUGCUGGGAUGUAGCUAAGUCCUAAUACUUGAUAUGUGGUGGGUUUCGUGGGCAUAUAUACUUGUCAAAACUCACUGAUGGGUGUGUAAAUUAUACCUCAAGAUAGCAGUGUUGGUAGGAAAACUGGUUUCGUUUACAUGAAUGAAACCAUAGUAUGUAGUCCCCCCACCCUUUUUUUUUCUUUUUUUGUUGCCUGCUUUUUUCUUACUCAGAAAUCUAUUUUUGUUUCCCCUUCAAUAAAAUGUUGUCCUUAGCAGGGUUCUGGGAAUAGCCUGACUCUUGUUUCCAAAAGCAGACUUUCAAGUCCAUGGUCAUGGAUCACUGUAGGUCAGUUUACACUGAAGGUCAGUCUACACUGUAGGUCAGUCUACACUGUAAGUCAGUCUACACUGGAGGUCAGUUUACACUGUAGGUCACUUUACUCUGCACUGUAGGUCUAAUCCUCUCUGCUGUCUUCAAAGGCCUCACCCAGCAGAUGGCCCAGACUUUCAAAAUUUAGGAUGCAGGGCAAAAGUCAUCUAAUCUUCAAUGAUUUCACCUUGUCUAGAUCUUCUGAUCUCCAACCUGGAGAAUUAAUAUGAGAAUCAGAAAAGGCUCUGCUGCUCAGAGGGCCAUCUUCCCUGUACAACUGAUCUGAUUAUUUGGGGUAGUUUUGAGAAUUCUGCUUAGGGUAGAGAGGGAUUAUCAGGGUCAUUAAAAGUCUGUGCAUUCCAAACAUUUGGGUUGGGACUUUUCUUAGGCGGUCAAUAAACUCUCCAAACAGAGCAACCUCUUGGGCUUGUGAGCAUCUGCAAGAAGAAAAUUUCAUACCCUACAGCCUGGAAAAGGAAAUGCCUCAACCAAUUUUCCUGCACAGUGUGGAUGGAGUGACAAACACCUUCCCAGAGAGCCUCCAAGGAGGCAAACAAGGCAGAGGAGAGAAAGAACAUAGAAAAAUCCAUGUCUUGCAAAUGCCAAGAGAGAAAACAAUCAAAUUAUCUGGUGCCUGCUGUCUUCUUCUGAUCACCAGCCAGGUUCAGGGGGAGGGGAAUCCAUAUCCAUCCGGUUCAUUCCUUUCCCUGAACACACUCCUGCAUCUCAGGAAUCAGAUAACAGCAGGUGCUGUGACAUUAUGGCAAACAUUCUUGUCCUGGAGGAGUGGAUGUGUCACCUACUGAAUCUGCGUCUCGAACAUUUCAUCAAUCACCCAUUGAUUGUGCCUCCUCUGGAUCCCAGGCUCAGCUUUCGGCUAUAUAUUGAUGGACUUGAGGAUGAAAAUCUGCCAUCAUUACUACUCAUUAUCAACUUGAUUGGACUUAGAAUCACCAUAGAAACAUACCUCUGGGUGUGCCCAUGAAGAUACUUCUGGAAAGAUUUAAAUGAAGAAGGAAGAUCCAUCCUAGAUGCAAAUGAAGCCAUCCAAGGGCUAGGG
ensembl:lncRNA